rnacentral:rRNA from 1 species
CGGCCUACGGGACGCAGCAGUGGGGAAUAUUGCACAAUGGGGGAAACCCUGAUGCAGCGACGCCGCGUGAGUGAAGAAGUAUUUCGGUAUGUAAAGCUCUAUCAGCAGGGAAGAAAAAAGACGGUACCUGACUAAGAAGCCCCGGCUAAAUACGUGCCAGCAGCCGCGGUAAUACGUAUGGAGUAAGCGUUAUCCGGAUUUACUGGGUGUAAAGGGAGCGCAGACGGCAGGGCAAGUCUGAUGUGAAAGUCCGGGGCUCAACCCCGGGACUGCAUUGGAAACUGUCCGGCUAGAGUGCAGGAGAG